UGGUCUCUAUCUGUGCUUCUAGGCACCUUGAAGUUCUUAGGAAAAGAAUAACUGUCUCCAGUUCUUCUUGAUGAUAUAAGUAACAGCUUGAAUGUUGCUGCCCAAAGAAGCAGAUUACAGUUAAACACCUGUUAAAUCACCCUUGGCUCAUGCAAGGUUAUUCUGAUGCUGUUCAGCGGCAAAGUAAAUACCCACUGGGGCACCUUGAUGAAGACUGUGUAACAGAACUUCCUGUGUUUCACAACCAGAGCAGAGUAUAUCGGCAUUAAUAUCAGAGGUACAGAAAAUAAUGAGAACAAUCUACCUACAAGGGGAAGAAGUUCUUCCAUGUUAGUCUGUGAUAUUUUCACUGUCCUUUAUUAAAGGACUUUUAAUGCC